UGAACCAAGCUUCCCAAACAGUAUUAAACCCAACCACAUAUUAUGAAGAGAUGAAGUGAUUUUCUCCACUUUUCAAACAAAUUUACUACAGUAGUUUACAAACAACAUGUAAUCUGAAGACGACAACAGUGGUAAUGUGUAAAGCGUCGGGAGUGAACUCAAAGCGAAAAUGAACCAAGGGUAACAAACAGUAUUAAACCCAUCCACUUUAUUAUGAGGAAAAUAAGUGAUUUUCUCCAUUUGUCAAACAAGUUUACUACAUACAACAAGUAAUCUGAAGACGACAUCAGUGGUUCAGGAGUGAACUCAAAGCGAAAAUAAACCAAGGGUCCCGAA